rnacentral:rRNA from 1 species
UACGUAGGGUGCGAGCGUUAAUCGGAAUUACUGGGCGUAAAGCGUGCGCAGGCGGUUUUGUAAGCCGGAUGUGAAAUCCCCGGGCUUAACCUGGGAAUGGCAUUCGGGACUGCAAGGCUGGAGUGCGGCAGAGGAGACUGGAAUUCCUGGUGUAGCAGUGAAAUGCGUAGAUAUCGGGAGGAACACCAGUGGCGAAGGCGGCUACCUGGACCAGCACUGACACUGAAGCACGAAAGCGUGGGGAGCAAACAGG